GAUCAUGGCUCAGAACGUACGCUGGCGGCACGCCUAACACAUGCAAGUCGAACGCAGUAUCAAUACUGAGUGGCAAACGGGUGAGUAUAAUGUGGGAAUCUGCCUUUUGGUUUGGAUAACACGGGGAAACUUGUGCUAAUACCAAAUAAGCCUUUACAGGGAAAGUUUUAACCCCCAAAGAUGAGCCCGCCCUUGAUUAGCUAGUUGGUAAGGUAAAAGCUUUACCAAGGCAAUGAUCUAAUA
rnacentral:rRNA from 1 species